AACGCACAUUGCGCCUGCUAGUAUUCUGGCAGGCAUGCCUGUCCGAGCGUCAUUUCAACCCCCAGGCCCUCGUUGCCUGUUGUUGGGGCCUUCAGGGCGGUCCGACGACCCCCCUGAGCCCUGAAAAGCAGUGGCGGGCUCGCCAGGUCACCGGGCGCAGUAAUUCUCUCUCGCUCAGGGGCCUUGGCGGGUGCCAGCCGUGAAAACGCAGAACCUCACUUCUACAACAGUGGUUUGACCUCGGAUCAGGUAGGAAUACCCGCUGAACUUAA
rnacentral:misc_RNA from 1 species